GCUCCCUUAGCUCAGCGGUAGAGCAGCGGGUUUAUACCCCGUCAGCGACAGAUAAUCGGCGUGCGCAGGUUCGAAUCCUGCAGGGAGUACCA
rnacentral:tRNA from 1 species